CUUUCUUUCUUUCUUCUGUAGUGGAGAGAAAGACUGGACUGUGUGACGCCCUCUUCUUUUUGGUCCUGUCAAAACAAGUGGAGAGAGAUCCUGUGUACUGUUUGGCCGCCAAAUGAGUGAUUGAAGGCACCUGGGAAGGAAUGGAGGUUCAGUCAGACUCAUUCACCAAACAAGCUGCAAGAUCUACUCUACAAGUUGCUCCAAACACACCAAAAGCGGUGCUGACUUCAACUUGAACCACUUUGAUUCUGUGUUGGACCAGCGUCGGAGACCAUGAGAGCAGAGGGGACCUGGAAAGCAGCUGAAAAGCCACGGAAGAGUGCUGAAAAGCCCAAAAGUGAGACAUUGUGAGGAGGAGGAGAGCUGAAAAGCCGACAGAGACUUGUGUGAGAAUUGAAUUAAAAGAAUUGUAUA